rnacentral:misc_RNA from 1 species
GAUGAAGAACGUAGCGAAAUGCGAUAAGUAAUGUGAAUUGCAGAAUUCAGUGAAUCAUCGAAUCUUUGAACGCACAUUGCGCCCGCCAGUAUUCUGGCGGGCAUGCCUGUUCGAGCGUCAUUUCAACCAUCAAGCCCCCGGCUUGUGUUGGGGACCUGCGGCUGCCGCAGGCCCUGAAAAGCAGUGGCGGGCUCGCUGUCACACCGAGCGUAGUAGCAUACAUCUCGCUCUGGGCGUGCUGCGGGUUCCGGCCGUGAAACCACCUUCAUAACCCAAGGUUGACCUCGGAUCAGGUAGGAAGACCCGCUGAACUUAAGCAUAUCAAUAAGCGGAGGA